rnacentral:rRNA from 1 species
GACGAACGCUGGCGGCGUGCUUAACACAUGCAAGUCGAACGGUAAGGCCCUUCGGGGUACACGAGUGGCGAACGGGUGAGUAACACGUGGGUGAUCUGCCCUGCACUUCGGGAUAAGCCUGGGAAACUGGGUCUAAUACCGGAUAGGACUCCGGACUGCAUGGUCUGGGGUGGAAAGCUUUUGCGGUAUGGGAUGGGCCCGCGGCCUCUCAGCGUGUUGGUGGGGUGAGGGCCUACCAAGGCGACGACGGGGAGCCGGCCCGAGAGGGGGACCGGCCACACUGGGACUGAGAUACGGCCCAGACGCCUACGGGAGGCAGCAGUGGGGAAUAUUGCACAAUGGGCGCAAGCCUGAUGCAGCGACGCCGCGUGAGGGAUGACGGCCUUCGGGUUGUAAACCUCUUUCAGCAUCGACGAAGCGAAAGUGACGGUAGGUGCAGAAGAAGGACCGGCCAACUACGUGCCAGCCGCCGCAGUAA